UACGGAGGGUGCGAGCGUUGUCCGGAAUCACUGGGCGUAAAGGGCGCGUAGGCGGCCGCGUAAGUCACUUGUGAAAUCCCGGUGCUCAACUCCGGGGCUGCAGGUGAGACUGCGUGGCUAGAGCACGGUAGAGGCGAGUGGAAUUCCCGGUGUAGCGGUGGAAUGCGUAGAGAUCGGGAAGAACAUCAGUGGCGAAGGCGGCCUGCUGGGCUGUUGCUGACGCUGAGGCGCGACAGCGUGGGGAGCAAACAGG
rnacentral:rRNA from 1 species